GUGCCAGCAGCCGCGGUAAUACGUAGGUGGCAAGCGUUGUCCGGAUUUAUUGGGCGUAAAGCGAGCGCAGGCGGUUUCUUAAGUCUGAUGUGAAAGCCCCCGGCUCAACCGGGGAGGGUCAUUGGAAACUGGGAGACUUGAGUGCAGAAGAGGAGAGUGGAAUUCCAUGUGUAGCGGGGAAAUGCGUAGAUAUAUGGAGGAACACCAGUGGCGAAGGCGGCUCUCUGGUCUGUAACUGACGCUGAGGCUCGAAAGCGUGGGGAGCAAACAGGAUUAGAUACCCUGGUAGUCC
rnacentral:rRNA from 1 species